rnacentral:rRNA from 1 species
UACGAGUGCUCCAAGCGUUAUCCGGAAUUACUGGGCGUAAAGGGUGUGUAGGCGGUUUUGUUAGUCGAGCGUUAAAGCUCUGGGCUUAACCCAGGAAGUGCGCUCGAAACGGCAAACCUAGAGGAUGCGAGAGGUGAACAGAACUCAUGGUGUAGGGGUGAAAUCCGUUGAUAUUAUGGGGAACACCAAAAGCGAAGGCAACAUACUGGCGCAUUCCUGACGCUGAGACACGAAAGCGUGGGUAGCGAAUGGG